rnacentral:rRNA from 1 species
AGAGUUUGAUCCUGGCUCAGGACGAACGCUGGCGGCGUGCCUAACACAUGCAAGUCGAGCGAGGAAUGACUGGUAGCUUGCUACCGGUUAUUUCUAGCGGCGGACGGGUGAGUAACGCGUGAGCAACCUGCCUUUAUCAGGGGGAUAACGCAUCGAAAGAUGUGCUAAUACCGCGUAAGACCACAGCCUCACAUGGGGCAGGGGUCAAAGGAGGAAUCCGGAUAAAGAUGGGCUCGCGUCCGAUUAGCUAGUUGGUGAGAUAACAGCCCACCAAGGCGACGAUCGGUAGCCGACCUGAGAGGGUGAUCGGCCACAUUGGAACUGAGAGACGGUCCAGACUCCUACGGGAGGCAGCAGUGGGGAAUAUUGGGCAAUGGGCGAAAGCCUGACCCAGCAACGCCGCGUGAGGGAAGAAGGGUUUCGGCUCGUAAACCUCUGUCCUAUGGGACGAAGGAAGUGACGGUACCAUAGGAGGAAGCCCCGGCUAACUACGUGCCAGCAGCCGCGGUAAUACGUAGGGGGCGAGCGUUAUCCGGAUUCAUUGGGCGUAAAGCGCGCGUAGGCGGCCCGGCAGGCCGGGGGUCGAAGCGGGGGGCUCAACCCCCCGAAGCCCCCGGAACCUCCGCGGCUUGGGUCCGGUAGGGGAGGGUGGAACACCCGGUGUAGCGGUGGAAUGCGCAGAUAUCGGGUGGAACACCGGUGGCGAAGGCGGCCCUCUGGGCCGAGACCGACGCUGAGGCGCGAAAGCUGGGGGAGCGAACAGGAUUAGAUACCCUGGUAGUCCCAGCCGUAAACGAUGGACGCUAGGUGUGGGGGGACGAUCCCCCCGUGCCGCAGCCAACGCAUUAAGCGUCCCGCCUGGGGAGUACGGCCGCAAGGCUAAAACUCAAAGGAAUUGACGGGGGCCCGCACAAGCAGCGGAGCAUGUGGCUUAAUUCGAAGCAACGCGAAGAACCUUACCAGGGCUUGACAUAUGGGUGAAGCGGGGGAGACCCCGUGGCCGAGAGGAGCCCAUACAGGUGGUGCAUGGCUGUCGUCAGCUCGUGUCGUGAGAUGUUGGGUUAAGUCCCGCAACGAGCGCAACCC